AUUGAACGCUGGCGGCAGGCCUAACACAUGCAAGUCGAACGAGUGGCGGACGGGUGAGUAAUGUCUGGGAAACUGCCCGAUGGCGGGGGAUAACUACUGUAAACGGUAGCUAAUACAGCAUACCAUCGGAUGUGCCCAGGUGGGAUUAGCUCGUGGGUGGGGCAAUGGCUCACCUAGGCGACGAUCCCUAGCUGGUCUGAUAGGAUGACCAGACAAACUGGAACGGAGACACGGUCCAGACUGCUACGGGAGGAAGCAGUGGGGAAUAUUGCACAAUGGGCGCAAGCCUGAUGCAGCGAUGCCGAGUGUAUGAAGAAGGCCUUCGGGUUGGAAAGUACUUUCAGCGAGAAGGCGUUACUCGCAGAAGAAGCACCGGCUAAAUCCGUGCCAGCAGCCGCGGUAAUUC
rnacentral:rRNA from 1 species